UCUCGUACCAGCACGCUUUCAAAUUCCGCGGUCCGUCCGCGGACUUGGCGACUUUGCGUAUAAUUGCGCAUAAUAAUUCGUGCAAUAAAUUCAACAGUCGGCUCUUAUAUUUACACGAGUCGUUCGCACUAUCCAGAGUUGCCUGUUGUACUCCGCGAUUAUGCGAUAGUGGAAUGAGCGUAUAACGUCUCGUGGCAAUACCAGAGAAAUAUUUUAAUCGAUUGUCGUCCUUUUUCUAUCUUCUCGUGUAACCGAUGAUAAGGGAAUUGUAACAUGUUUGUUGGAAAAUAAACGCAAAGCUAUUUGUCUAUUGAUACGCUUUAUACCGUACUAUGCUUAAUUAUUAAUUAAUUAAAUAGAAAGUGUUUAGUGAUAAGCUAAAAGAAAAAUUGUGAUUAGAUCAGCUGUCAUCAAUAUGCUGGUUUCCUCGUCACCAUACGUCUCAGCGACCAAAAAAUCGAGCUUAUGACCUUGUCUGCCGAGUUCUCCCGCAUUCACCUAUCGUAAUCAAGCCACUCAAUCGAGAGUGAUGGCGCCGGAUAUCCGAACACCCGGACGCUCGUAUUCUCCAUCCCCUGGACGUCGUUUCGAACCGGUGAUGUAUCCAAGGGUGAAUGUCUCCGCAUUGACACCUCUGCCGAACAAAACGUGGAUCGC